ACGUAGCAGUUUUGCAGUACAGAUUCGUGAAAGAUCUAGCAACAGCUGAGUUCGGAGUGAAGUAUUUUUCUAACUUUGUAAAAUAUUGUUUAUAAGAUCGACGUCUUUCGACAAAAUGUAUCCGAAAGUACUCGUGAUGCUUAUUCUAUUGUUCAUAUUGACACAAACAAUUUACGGUCAGUCAUGGAGAGACUACGCGUCGAAUGUCACCAUAAUUGUAAUACCAUCUCGAGAAAAGCAAUGCCCACCAGGAACAAAACUCCAAGGAGAAAUUUGUCGACCAAUAUAUCAAAAUACUAUCAUUUAAUUCUAUCCGUUUAAAAAUAACAUUUGAACUUAUAAAUAUACGAAUCUCGCCAAUUAUAAUACAUCUAUAAAAAAAGCCUA